CUACGUGCCAGCAGCCGCGGUAAUACGGAAGGUCCAGGCGUUAUCCGGAUUUAUUGGGUUUAAAGGGAGCGUAGGCUGGAGAUUAAGUGUGUUGUGAAAUGUAGACGCUCAACGUCUGAAUUGCAGCGCAUACUGGUUUCCUUGAGUACGCACAACGUUGGCGGAAUUCGUCGUGUAGCGGUGAAAUGCUUAGAUAUGACGAAGAACUCCGAUUGCGAAGGCAGCUGACGGGAGCGCAACUGACGCUUAAGCUCGAAGGUGCGGGUAUCGAACAGGAUUAGAUACCCUGGUAGUCCGCACGGUAAACGAUGGAUGCCCGCUGUUGGUACCUGGUAUCAGCGGCUAAGCGAAAGCAUUAAGCAUCCCACCUGGGGAGUACGCCGGCAACGGUGAAACUCAAAGGAAUUGACGGGGGCCCGCACAAGCGGAGGAACAUGUGGUUUAAUUCGAUGAUACGCGAGGAACCUUACCCGGGCUUGA
rnacentral:rRNA from 1 species